rnacentral:sRNA from 1 species
ACAAUGCUCCGACGCAGAAGGAAGAGCGUCGAGGCUCCGGGUGGGACCUGAGAAGGCGCCCGGCGUGCGGCGGUGCUGGGUUGGAACCGCGGACUCCGCGGGUCUUCGGCGGCGGGCGCGGCAGCCCGUGGAAGCCACCGAUGAUGCCUUUUGGGACCAGUUCUGGGCAGACACAGCCACCUCGGUGCAGGAUGUGUUUGCACUGGUGCCGGCAGCAGAGAUCCGGGCCGUGCGGGAAGAGUCACCCUCCAACUUGGCCACCCUGUGCUACAAGGCCGUUGAGAAGCUGGUGCAGGGAGCUGAGAGUGGCUGCCACUCGGAGAAGGAGAAGCAGAUCGUCCUGAACUGCAGCCGGCUGCUCACCCGCGUGCUGCCCUACAUCUUUGAGGACCCCGACUGGAGGGGCUUCUUCUGGUCCACAGUGCCCGGGGCAGGGCGAGGAGGGCAGGGAGAAGAGGAUGAUGAGCAUGCCAGGCCCCUGGCCGAGUCCCUGCUCCUGGCCAUUGCUGACCUGCUCUUCUGCCCGGACUUCACGGUACA